AGUGAACGCUGGCGGUAGGCCUAACACAUGCAAGUCGAACGGCAGCACAGUAAGAGCUUGCUCUUACGGGUGGCGAGUGGCGGACGGGUGAGGAAUACAUCGGAAUCUACUUUUUCGUGGGGGAUAACGUAGGGAAACUUGCGCUAAUACCGCAUACGACCUACGGUUGAAAGCAGGGGAUCUUCGGACCUUUCGCGAUUGAAUGAGCCGAUGUCGGAUUAGAUAGUUGGCGGGGUAAAGGCCCACCAAGGCGACGAUCCGUAGCUGGUCUGAGAGGAUGAUCAGCCACACUGGAACUGAGACACGGUCCAGACUACUACGGGAGGCAGCAGUGGGGAAUAUUGGACAAUGGGCGCAAGCCUGAUCCAGCCAUACCGCGUGGGUGAAGAAGGCCUUCGGGUUGUAAAGACCUUUUGUUGGGAAAGAAAAGCAGCAGGUUAAUACCCCGCUGUUCUGACGGUACCCAAAGAAUAAGCACCGGCUAACUUCGUG
rnacentral:rRNA from 1 species